rnacentral:rRNA from 1 species
AUACGGAGGAUACGAGCGUUAUCCGGAUUUAUUGGGUUUAAAGGGUGCGCAGGCGGCCAUUUAAGUCAGCGGUUAAAUCGUGGGGCUCAACCCCAUUCUGCCGUUGAUACUGGGUGGCUUGAUUGCGGUCGAGGUUGGCGGAAUUCGUUGUGUAGCGGUGAAAUGCAUAGAUAUGACGAAGAACACCGAUUGCGUAGGCAGCUGACCAGACCGCAAAUGACGCUCAUGCACGAAAGUGCGGGGAUCGAACAGGAUUAGAUACCCUGGUAGUCCGCACAGUAAACGAUGAAUACUUGUUUUCGGCGAUAUAAUGUCGGAGGCAAAGCGAAAGCGAUAAGUAUUCCACCUGGGGAGUACGCCGGCAACGGUGAAACUCAAAUGAAUUGGCGGGG